rnacentral:rRNA from 1 species
CAGAUUGAACGCUGGCGGCAGGCCUAACACAUGCAAGUCGAGCGGAAACGAGUUGUCUGAACCUUCGGGGAACGAUAACGGCGUCGAGCGGCGGACGGGUGAGUAAUGCCUAGGAAAUUGCCCUGAUGUGGGGGAUAACCAUUGGAAACGAUGGCUAAUACCGCAUGAUGCCUACGGGCCAAAGAGGGGGACCUUCGGGCCUCUCGCGUCAGGAUAUGCCUAGGUGGGAUUAGCUAGUUGGUGAGGUAAGGGCUCACCAAGGCGACGAUCCCUAGCUGGUCUGAGAGGAUGAUCAGCCACACUGGAACUGAGACACGGUCCAGACUCCUACGGGAGGCAGCAGUGGGGAAUAUUGCACAAUGGGCGCAAGCCUGAUGCAGCCAUGCCGCGUGUAUGAAGAAGGCCUUCGGGUUGUAAAGUACUUUCAGUCGUGAGGAAGGUGGUGUUGUUAAUAGCAGCAUCAUUUGACGUUAGCGACAGAAGAAGCACCGGCUAACUCCGUGCCAGCAGCCGCGGUAAUACGGAGGGUGCGAGCGUUAAUCGGAAUUACUGGGCGUAAAGCGCAUGCAGGUGGUUUGUUAAGUCAGAUGUGAAAGCCCGGGGCUCAACCUCGGAAUAGCAUUUGAAACUGGCAGACUAGAGUACUGUAGAGGGGGGUAGAAUUUCAGGUGUAGCGGUGAAAUGCGUAGAGAUCUGAAGGAAUACCGGUGGCGAAGGCGGCCCCCUGGACAGAUACUGACACUC